GUCUAUGGACAUACCACCCUGAAUGUACCUGAUCUUGUCUGAUCUCAGAAACUAAGCAGGGUCAGGCCUUGUUAUUACUUGGAUGGGAGAUAAGAGAGAGAGAUCCUAAACC
rnacentral:rRNA from 1 species